rnacentral:lncRNA from 1 species
UAUCUAUCGGGUAUGAUUAUGCAUUUUCCUAUGAUGUCCAUCUAUUGUAGCAUUGCAUUGCAUCCCAUAUACUUAAUACAUUCAAAUGUACUAACGCAUACUCUAUGCCUACAUGAUGUCACCAUGUAGGGACCGGAGCACCGCUUGACCAUCCUCCUCCGCGUGGCUAAUACGAUUUUCUAUCGAGGUUAUUGGUGAGUCCUCCAUUCCGG